GGCGGCGAGUGGCGGACGGGUGAGUAAUGCGUAGGAAUCUGCCCAGUAGCGGGGGACAACUUAGGGAAACUUAAGCUAAUACCGCAUACGCCCUACGGGGGAAAGAUUUAUCGCCGAAAGAGAAGCCCGCGUCGGAUUAGCUUGUUGGUAGGGUAAUGGCCUACCAAGGCGACGAUCCGUAGCUGGUCUGAGAGGAUGACCAGCCACACUGGGACUGAGAUACGGCCCAGACUCC
rnacentral:rRNA from 1 species